CCACAAUCACAACAUUUAUAUGGUUUCUCUUCUGUAUGUGUUUUAAUGCAGACAUUCAAAAAGUUUCUCCCCAGUGUGAGUCCUUUGGUGUCUCACCAGAUUGGAAUGAAUGCUAAAUCUUUUGCCACAUUGGGAACAUUGGUAGAGCUUCUCUCCAGUAUGGGUUCUUCCAUGAAU